AUUGAACGCUGGCGGCAGGCCUAACACGUGCAAGUCGAGCGGAUGAAGGGAGCUUGCUCCUGGAUUCAGCGGCGGACGGGUGAGUAAUGCCUAGGAAUCUGCCUGGUAGUGGGGGAUAACGUCCGGAAACGGGCGCUAAUACCGCAUACGUCCUGAGGGAGAAAGUGGGGGAUCUUCGGACCUCACGCUAUCAGAUGAGCCUAGGUCGGAUUAGCUAGUUGGUGGGGUAAAGGCCUACCAAGGCGACGAUCCGUAACUGGUCUGAGAGGAUGAUCAGUCACACUGGAACUGAGACACGGUCCAGACUCCUACGGGAGGCAGCAGUGGGGAAUAUUGGACAAAGGGCGAAAGCCUGAUCCAGCCAUGCCGCGUGUGUGAAGAAGGUCUUCGGAUUGUAAAGCACUUUAAGUUGGGAGGAAGGGCAGUAAGUUAAUACCUUGCUGUUUUGACGUUACCAACAGAAUAAGCACCGGCUAACUUCGUG
rnacentral:rRNA from 1 species